rnacentral:rRNA from 1 species
GUUAAUCGGAAUUACUGGGCGUAAAGCGCACGCAGGCGGUCUGUCAAGUCGGAUGUGAAAUCCCCGGGCUCAACCUGGGAACUGCAUUCGAAACUGGCAGGCUGGAGUCUUGUAGAGGGGGGUAGAAUUCCAGGUGUAGCGGUGAAAUGCGUAGAGAUCUGGAGGAAUACCGGUGGCGAAGGCGGCCCCCUGGACAAAGACUGACGCUCAGGUGCGAAAGCGUGGGGAGCAAACAGGAUUAGAUACCCUGGUAGUCCACGCCGUAAACGAUGUCGAUUUUGGGAGGUUGUGCCCUUGAGGCGUGGCUUCCGGAGGCUAACGCGUUAAAUCGACCGCCUGGGGAGUACGGCCGCAAGGUUAAAACUCAAAUGAAUUGACGGGGGCCCGCACAAGCGGUGGAGCAUGUGGUUUAAUUCGAUGCAACGCGAAGAACCUUACCUGGUCUUGACAUCCACAGAACUUUCCAGAGAUGGAUUGGUGCCUUCGGGAACUGUGAGACAGGUGCUGCAUGGCUGUCGUCAGCUCGUGUUGUGAAAUGUUGGGUUAAGUCCCGCAACGAGCGCAACCCUUAUCCUUUGUUGCCAGCGGUCCGGCCGGGAACUCAAAGGAGACUGCCAGUGAUAAACUGGAGGAAGGUGGGGAUGACGUCAAGUCAUCAUGGCCCUUACGACCAGGGCUACACACGUGCUACAAUGGCGCAUACAAAGAGAAGCGACCUCGCGAGAGCAAGCGGACCUCAUAAAGUGCGUCGUAGUCCGGAUUGGAGUCUGCAACUCGACUCCAUGAAGUCGGAAUCGCUAGUAAUCGUAGAUCAGAAUGCUACGGUGAAUACGUUCCCGGGCCUUGUACACACCGCCCGUCACACCAUGGGAGUGGGUUGCAAAAGAAGUAGGUAGCUUAACCUUCGGGAGGGCGCUUACCACUUUGUGAUUCAUGACUGGGGUGA